rnacentral:rRNA from 1 species
UACGUAGGGGGCAAGCGUUGUCCGGAUUUAUUGGGCGUAAAGAGCGUGUAGGCGGCCUGACAGGUCUGCUGUGAAAAACUCGAGGCUCAACCUCGAGAUGUCGGCGGAAACCGUCUGGCUAGGGGUCCGGAAGAGGAGAGUGGAAUUCCUGGUGUAGCGGUGAAAAUGCGCAGAUAUCAGGGAAAGAACACCCCGUGGCGAAAGGCGGCUCUCUGGGGACGGU